AGCAUGUGGUUUAAUUCGAAGCAACGCGAAGAACCUUACCAGGGCUUGACAUGCCGCCGACCGGUGCAGAGAUGCAUCUUUAUCCUUCGGGGUACAGCGGACACAGGUGGUGCAUGGUUGUCGUCAGCUCGUGUCGUGAGAUGUUGGGUUAAGUCCCGCAACGAGCGCAACCCUUGUCUUUAGUUGCCAUCAUUAAGUUGGGCACUCUAAAGAGACUGCCGAUGACAAAUCGGAGGAAGGUGGGGAUGACGUCAAAUCAUCAUGCCCUUUAUGUCCUGGGCUACACACGUGCUACAAUGGUCGGUACAACGAGAAGCAAGUCAGCGAUGGCAAGCAAAUCUCUAAAAGCCGAUCCCAGUUCGGAUUGCAGGCUGCAACUCGCCUGCAUGAAGUCGGAGUUGCUAGUAAUCGCGGAUCAGAAUGCCGCGGUGAAUGCGUUCCCGGGUCUU
rnacentral:rRNA from 2 species